CUUCUCCUUUCAGACUCCAACACGGACAUUACUCUUAUAAUGUUGCAAAAUUUUGCUCCAGGGCCUGCUCCAUUAGGAGUCAGAUGGUUAAAUCUCUGCAAUUUGAUUCCCAGGGGAAAUAUUGGUCUCCAAGUAUUGAUUUAGGGUAUCUGUAAUAUUGUAAAUGGAUGUGGUGUAAGCUAUAAACUGAAUUGGUUUUUCUGUAACUCUGGAAUUUUUCCUUUUUUCUGUUUCUGCUUGUUUUCAGGUCUCAGACUAUAAUAAACUUAAUUUGAAAAUAUCCCUGAAGAAAAUGCCUGACAUACUGACUAAAUUAAUUGAUGGAAAUCCUAUUGACAUUAAGUAGUCUUUUAGAGUAACCCCCAGAUAUCCCAUCAGAUCGUCAUUUGCAUUUGUUGGCUGCAGCAACACUGAUGUUCUCAAAGCAUUAGAAGGAUUCUAAGCCACCUACUAAAUCAAAAUGGCAGAUUAAAUGUUGGGAGACCUCUAAAGUGGUGAAACUGCCAACCUGAUGGAGACUGGAAAGAGAUUUUGAGAAAACAUGUCAGAACUGGAGAUCUGCAUUAAGCUAUACAACUAGAUCAAAAUAUUGUUAGAUUAAUUUUCUUUUAUACAAAAUAAAAAGAAGGUCUACAAAGGAGAUUUGCUUUGAGUGUUGUCAUGUGUAUUUCAUCAAGAAAACUUCAUGGCUCUGUGGUCACCAGGAGCUGAGACUGACUCGAUGGUGAAUUACCUCUAUACUGUAGCUGAUUCAAAGUGUUAUCAUUUUUUCUAUUUAAGGUUACAUUUUAAAUAAUUAGUGUGAUGCUAAUUAUUAUUUACUUAUGUUGUCUGAGAACAUAAUAAAAGAUUGAUUGAUACUUGUA